AACCCGGAUCUCUAAUUGGGGAUGACCAGAUUUAUAGAGUUAUUAUUACAGCUCACGCAUUCGUAAUAAUUUUCUUUAUAGUAAUACCUAUUAUAAUUGGUGGAUUUGGUAAUUGACUUGUUCCACUAAUAAUUGGUGCACCAGAUAUAGCAUUUCCACGAAUAAAUAAUAUAAGUUAUUGAUUACUACCACUUUCACUAACCCUUCUUCUUACAUCUUCUAUAGUAGAUAAUGGUGCUGGUACAGGAUGAACAGUUUACCCUCCUCUAGCAGGAGCUAUUGCACACGGGGGUGCAUCUGUAGAUCUAGCUAUUUUUUCACUACACUUAGCAGGUGUAUCAUCUAUUCUUGGUGCAGUAAAUUUCAUUACAACAGCAAUUAAUAUACGAUCAGAAAGUAUAACUUGAGAUCAAACACCUUUAUUUGUGUGAUCAGUAGCUAUUACAGCAUUACUUCUCCUUCUUUCACUUCCAGUUUUAGCAGGAGCUAUUACUAUAUUAUUAACAGAUCGAAAUUUAAAUACAUCAUUCUUUGACCCUGCAGGAGGGGGUGACCCAAUUCUAUAUCAACAUCUGUUUUGAUUCUUUGGACACCCAGAAGUUUAUAUUUUAAUUGUACCGGGGUUCGGAAUUAUUUCACAUAUUGUAUGUGAAGAAAGAGGAAAAAUUGAAUCAUUUGGAACAUUAGGUAUAAUUUAUGCUAUACUAUCAAUUGGACUAAUAGGAUUUAUUGUAUGAGCACAUCAUAUAUUUACAGUAGGAAUGGAUGUUGACACACGAGCAUAUUUUACAUCAGCAACAAUAAUUAUUGCUGUACCUACAGGAAUUAAGGUAUUUAGAUGAUUAGCUACAUUAUAUGGAACUAAAUUCAAGUUCAAUCCACCAUUAUUAUGAGUUCUAGGAUUUAUUUUCCUAUUUACAAUUGGUGGAUUAACAGGAUUAGUAUUAGCAAAUUCAUCACUUGAUAUUGUAUUACAUGAUACAUAUUAUGUAGUAGCCCACUUUCAUUAUGUAUUAUCUAUAGGAGCAGUAUUUGCAAUUAUAGGAGGUGUCAUUCAAUGAUAUCCACUAUUUACAGGAUUAACUAUAAAUAAUACAUGAUGAAAAAUCCAAUUUACAAUUAUAUUCAUUGGAGUAAACUUAACAUUCUUUCCUCAACACUUCCUAGGAUUAGCAGGAAUACCUCGACGAUACUCAGACUACCCAGACGCAUAUACAUCAUGAAACGUAGUAUCAAGAAUUGGGUCUACAAUUUCUAUUGUAGGAAUCAUUAUAUUCAUUGUAAUUAUAUGAGAAAGAAUGGUUACAAACCGAGCAAUUAUAUUUAGAGCUAACAUAAGAAGAUCAACAGAAUGACUACAAAAUAACCCUCCUGCAGAACAUAGUUACUCAGAAUUACCAUUAAUCUCUAGAU